GAGAAAAGUUUAAAACUUUUCCCUAGACACAUUAAUCAGCAGAAGAGAAAGUAUGGGUAGUUCAUAAAUCUGACAUAUCAUAGAAGGAGAACAAUAUAUUGAGGACCCAGAAUCUCAUUUUCUUUUUCAGUCUUAUUUUUUGUACUAAGUGCAUCUCACUAUAGGGAAUAAAAAAUUAUAUCACAUGUACUGCUAGGGGGAAAAAUUGUUCCUUUUAUCAAUCAAAUAGAGACUUUCUAUGACACGCAUCUUGAGUGAUAAAACAGUGAUAAAUGUCUUAUAUUUGCCAUUUUUAUAGGACCCUUGUGACUAGAAAUCAAAACAAUGUUCUAAGAUUAUAAAAAUGACAAUAGUGCAAAAUUCUAGGUUUAUUGUAUUAAUGCACGCAGCUGUGUACAGCAAGAGAGGCAACGAUGCCAGCUACUUUUCUGAGUUAAAAAUGGUCCUGGCUUUUUGUAAUAGGCCAUGUGGGAUGACAUUUUUUAUUUCUUACAAAUCCAAUUUUAAGUGGUUCUUUAAAAUAUAAGUGAAUGGCAGGACCCACAUUUACCCAUUAGAUUAAAUGCUUGCUUUUGAUUGAAUAGAAAAUUACAGUUUUCC
rnacentral:lncRNA from 1 species